rnacentral:rRNA from 1 species
UACGUAGGGUGCGAGCGUUAAUCGGAAUUACUGGGCGUAAAGCGUGCGCAGGCGGUUCGUGAUGUCUGGUGUGAAAGCCCCGGGCUUAACCUGGGAAUUGCAUUGGAAACUAGCGGGCUGGAGUGUGGCAGAGGGGGGUGGAAUUCCACGUGUAGCAGUGAAAUGCGUAGAGAUGCGGAGGAACACCGAUGGCGAAGGCAGCCCCCUGGGCUAACACUGACGCUCAGGCACGAAAGCGUGGGGAGCAAACAGG